rnacentral:misc_RNA from 1 species
CCCCGUCCUAUGUAUUCCCUGUAAAAAAAAAAAAAAAAAAGUUGUGUACAUGAGAACAGCUCAGCUCAACACCUCUCCCUCUCAAUGAAAUGACCUCCCUGUUCUCUUUCUUCUCUCAUUAGCCUUUUGGGCUCUCUGUUUCUAGGGACAUUCCUCCUCGACACACUGCUUCUGUCUUCUCCUUCCUCGUUACUCAUCUUCUCCUUAUAUAUUCACCGUUCACACAAGAAACAGAGAGACUCCAUUUAUUUAAGGCAAGACUCAAAGAAAAAGAUAUAAUGAACACACCAAUUAACACAAAAAUGGUGGUCUCUCACCUGCCUUCUGGUUUUCUCCUAAUUUUAUCUUUAUUUGCUGUUCUUGUUUCUGGGUCUCGAAGAACUUUACCUAUUAUACCAUUUGAUGAAGGAUACACCCAGCUUUUUGGGGAUGAUAAUCUGGUCAUUCACAAAGAUGGCAAGAAAGUCCAUUUAUCGCUAGAUGAAAGAACAGGGUCUGGAUUCGUUUCUCAGGACCUAUACUUACAUGGCUACUUCAGUGCUUCUAUCAAGUUGCCUGCAGAUUAUACUGCUGGAGUUGUGGUUGCUUUUUAUAUGUCAAAUGGAGAUAUGUUCGAGAAGAACCAUGAUGAGAUUGACUUUGAGUUCUUGGGUAACAUAAGAGGCAAAGACUGGAGGAUACAGACAAAUAUUUAUGGUAAUGGUAGCACCAACGUUGGCAGAGAAGAAAGAUACAGCCUCUGGUUUGAUCCCUCUGAUGAUUUCCAUCAGUACAGCAUUCUCUGGACUGAUUCCCAGAUCAUGUGAGUGAAAACCCACUUCACCGUCUUUGAUUUUCUCAGUAUUUGUUCAACUUCUUUUAUUUUGUUUGAUAUUAUUUGUUAUAAAGACAGCUAUUUAGAGGCUGUACUUCACCAGCUUGUCACUAAUGAGUUCAUGUUCUACAGUAUGGAAUUUACUGCUUUAGGUUGUUUUGAUGUUGAUUCAUCUGUUGUCGGGUAGAGGUAGAGUUUCUUGUUUUGGGGAAUUAGUACAGAAAGUUCUCUGUUCUUUUGCCUAUAGUUGCAUGCCCCUGUUUUAUCAAAACCAGUUUUCCUGUUUAAGCUUUGUUUGAUUAUUGAGAAAGGGUGGACAAGAUUCGAGUUUUGAUUACAAGAUCUUUUCUCAAAUUUAAGAACCUAUAAAACGAAACACUGAUGUGAUGGAGCCCUGAAGUCUUUACUCUUUAAAUUAUUUGAUUUUAACUUAUCAUUAUUUAUAUGGAGGACCAAAAACAACAAAGAACUUGUUAGUUUGGUUGCCAAUCUUUUCUUCCCCCUACUUUUCCAAAGUUUUUUGUGUUGCUAUUUAGGGGUAAUGAUUUUCUAGCUGGGAUAAGAAACAAACAAGAAUGAUUACAGUAGUACAAAUAAUUAAUGGAAUAUUUUUGGAUUAAUCUCUGUUUAUGCUAUAACAGUUAUUCUAAUUCUGUGUUGUUCAUUUAUUUUCCUUGAUAGAUUUUAUGUGGACAAUGUUCCUAUUAGGGAGGUGAAAAGAACAGUAUCUAUGGGGGGUGAUUUCCCUUCAAAGUCAAUGUCUUUGUAUGCAACGAUAUGGGAUGGGUCUGACUGGGCUACCAAUGGAGGCAAAUAUAGAGUAAAUUACAAAUAUGCACCUUAUGUCACAGAAUUCAGCGACUUUGUGCUACAUGGAUGUGCUGUUGAUCCGAUUGAACAGCACAUAUCAAAAUGUGAUAUUGCAGAGAGUUCUCAAGCAAUCCCCACUGGUGUCACCCCAUUGCAAAGAAUUAAAAUGGACAGUUUUAGGACAAAGUAUAUGACAUAUUCCUAUUGCUAUGAUCAAGCUCGAUACAAGGUUCCUCCAUCUGAGUGCGUUAUUAAUUCCCAAGAAGCUGAACGACUCAAAUCAUUCGAUCCUGUUACAUUUGGAGGAGGCCGGCGCCAUCAUGGGAAACGCCAUCGCCGGAGCAGAUCAUGGCAUCCUGAGGACAUUUCCAUUUAAGGAAGUUGCAUCAUCACUGCAUAAUGUUGGGGAUCAUUGUUAUUUUGUUAAAAAUUAUGCUUUGAUCUAGCUGGGGAUCAGUUAUUUUUUGUGAAUAGAGAGAAAGCUGAUAGAUUUUUACUGAGGGAUGGUAGGUAUGGUUGAUGAUGGG